GAUGAACGCUGGCGGCGUGCUUAACACAUGCAAGUCGAACGGAAAGGCCCUGCUUUUGUGGGGUGCUCGAGUGGCGAACGGGUGAGUAACACGUGAGUAACCUGCCCUUGACUUUGGGAUAACUUCAGGAAACUGGGGCUAAUACCGGAUAGGAGCUCCUGCUGCAUGGUGGGGGUUGGAAAGUUUCGGCGGUUGGGGAUGGACUCGCGGCUUAUCAGCUUGUUGGUGGGGUAGUGGCUUACCAAGGCUUUGACGGGUAGCCGGCCUGAGAGGGUGACCGGCCACAUUGGGACUGAGAUACGGCCCAGACUCCUACGGGAGGCAGCAGUGGGGAAUAUUGCACAAUGGGCGGAAGCCUGAUGCAGCAACGCCGCGUGCGGGAUGACGGCCUUCGGGUUGUAAACCGCUUUCGCCUGUGACGAAGCGUGAGUGACGGUAAUGGGCAAAGAAGCACCGGCUAACUACGUG
rnacentral:rRNA from 1 species